rnacentral:rRNA from 1 species
UACGUAGGGCGCAAGCGUUAUCCGGAAUUAUUGGGCGUAAAGAGCUCGUAGGCGGUUUGUCGCGUCUGCCGUGAAAGUCCGGGCUCAACUCCGGAUCUGCGGUGGGUACGGGCAGACUAGAGUGAUGUAGGGGAGACUGGAAUUCCUGGUGUAGCGGUGAAAUGCGCAGAUAUCAGGAGGAACACCGGUGGCGAAGGCGGGUCUCUGGGCAGUAACUGACGCUGAGGAGCGAAAGCGUGGGGAGCGAACAGG